CGACCGCUGGCGGCGUGCUUACCACAUGCACGUCGAACGGAAAGGCCCUGCUUGCAGGGUACUCGAGUGGCGAACGGGUGCGUAACACGUGGGUGAUCUGCCCUGCACUUCGGGAUAAGCCUGGGAAACUGGGUCUAAUACCGGAUAGGAGCCAUUUUUAGUGUGAUGGUUGGAAAGUUUUUUCGGUGUAGGAUGAGCUCGCGGCCUAUCAGCUUGUUGGUGGGGUAAUGGCCUACCAAGGCGGCGACGGGUAGCCGGCCUGAGAGGGUGGACGGCCACAUUGGGACUGAGAUACGGCCCAGACUCCUACGGGAGGCAGCAGUGGGGAAUAUUGCACAAUGGGCGCAAGCCUGAUGCAGCGACGCCGCGUGGGGGAUGACGGCCUUCGGGUUGUAAACUCCUUUCGCUAGGGACGAAGCUUUUUGUGACGGUACCUAGAUAAGAAGCACCGGCUAACUACGUG
rnacentral:rRNA from 1 species